rnacentral:lncRNA from 1 species
CUGGAUGAGGAUGGGUCAUAAAUCCAAUGUGACUACCCUUAAAAGAGACAGAAAAGGACACACGGAGAAACAGAAGGCCAUGUGAAGAUGAAGACGAGACUGGAGUGAUGUAGUUAUAAGCCAAAGAGCCAGCCCGGAUGACCAAAACCAUUAGAAGCAAAAUAGAAGAAAGGAAGGAUUCUCCCCUAGAGCCUUCAGAGGGAGCAUGGCCCUGCUGACACCUCAAUCUUAGACUUCUGGCUUCUAGAACUGGGAGAGAAUAAAUUUCUUUCAUUUUAAGCCACUAAAUGUGUGCUAAUUUGUUGCAGCAGCUCUAGAAAACUAAUAUAGGGACCAUAAGAAUUCAUUUGAAAAAGGGGUUCUGUGCUCUUAAGAAGGAAUUCCACUGCUACAAAGGUUAACAACCACUAAGCAAGUCCUCAUUUUACGCAGAGAAGCAAUUUGCCCAAUGUCACACAGCAAAUCAGGAAAAAGAAUGGAAGUGUUCUAGAACACACCUGCUGCAGCACUGCCUCCCAGUGGGGAUGACUAGGGAGACCAGCAGGUCACCAGCAGGCCCAGCUGUGCAGCUUCUGUGUUCAGGUUCUCAUGAAGUUAGGACUCCACUUCGCCAUCCACCUGCCUAGCUCCACGGCCCAGACCAGUCUGAUAUGGAUGAGCUGCUUGAACCCUCCUGAGGGGUGGGGAACUUCUAUCUAGGACGGUCAGAACACCUCAGUCUCGGGAAGCCAACUCCAUACAUUAGUUUGACUUGUGGAUUGGCUCUUCUGGAGACACCUUUAAAGGUAGCUCCCAGAAGAGGAUAUGCACUGUCUGGAUAAGUUUGAGGAUAAAAAGACAGAAAGACUUGGGUUCAAACCCCAGCUCCUCGACCUACUGCAUGUCCUUUCUAAACUCAGGCUCCUCAUCAAUGAAAAUGGGGGUACAGUACCCACCUCACAGGAAUGUGGAGGUUCAACCUAACAUGUGCAGUAUAUAGUGGAGCUGAAAAUAAAAAGGUUUUAAGGCACCAGAUAGCUAAUAAAGGGCCACUGGGAUAUAGACAAAACAUUGGCAUUUUAAAACAUUUUGGACAUACGUGGCUGCCUUCAUCUGACUCAAAGCAAAAACUGAUCAGUGGUGAGGCAGGCACUGUCACUUUUCAUCACAGUCAUUUGAAACAAAGGAUUUUAUAGCUAAGCAGGAGAAGAUUCCUUCCAAAGAAGAUGGAGACAGACCAGACAGUGAACGCUGUCACUAUGUCAUUGGUGGCACCUUGGGCCUGGUCAGUCGCCAACCCUCUGCUUCUUGGGCGUCCAGGUCGAGUGUACUGACAGACGACAUAAUGGACACUGUUGCUUCCCCCAGCAGCCACUGCCCUCUUCCUUUUCCUAACAACAUCCCUAGUGUGCCCAGAAAGCCACCCUCCUGCUGACACCCACGAGGCUCAGAGAAGCUCAGACCUUGCACCUCAGGUGGACUGUCAGCAGAGCCUACUUCUUGGGCCAGUUACUGGCCCAGCCGUGGCAAAGUUACCUGAGUGGGACCAAUUCAGCUGAGGAAUGAGGUGUCGCAUGCCAUGUUCCUACCCACUGGACAGAAAAAGAAGGUGUUGUCCUAAGGCUGCUGGCUGCCAUCUGCUGACCAUGCGGAAACCAGCUUGAGGCAAAGACAGUGCCUAGGACGGCAUGGCCAAAGAGAUACAGACGACCCUGGUGACAUCUCCAAGCCCCAUCUCUGGACAUCCUGCUGUGAGAAAUGGUAACUCCUCAUUGCUGAAGCCAGGUUGGGUUGGGAUUUUGGCUUCCCACAGCCAGAACAUUCCAACUGGUAUGGAGGGAGAACUUGUUUGCAAAGUGUCAUGCAUGAGGCAAACAUGCAGGGUCUGGCUGCAUCUCCUGUUUCUGAGCUCUGUGCUCUAGCUUAGGGGGAUUAUUUGGCAUCAGUUUCCCCUGGACUCUUCUAUAACUUGGGUAAAUGAAGCCCCCUCCCUAAGAAACCUUUUCAUGAGACAUGAAAACAAUCAAAUAGAGGAUCUGCGACAAUUUUCUAUACAGGUGACACCUGCCAGUAGGGAACGAGAACUAAGGCCACCAAAGUGUCACAGCACGGGCAGAAGGUGGGCUUCAGUGAGCCCUGCAGGCAGGAAGUACCAGACCCCUCCUGAGGAGCAAACAAGUCCUCUGGCGUGGCUGUUUCCUGGAGCUUUCAGAGGGACAGAGAUGUGAUAUCUGAACAGUACAAAGGCAGGGGCUAGGAGGCAGUCCAGGGAAUGUGACCCAAGGACACCACACAAUCCAGUCUGGUUGGAAUGGAUGGUUCACAAGGAGAAGUAGAGAGAAACUUAGAAAAAUCAGCUGAGGGUGUGAUGCCAGAUCAAGGAGUUUGAACUGUAUCUUCUAGGCAAUAGGGAGCUAUUAUAGGUCUUGGAGCAGAGCAGCCUGGAGGUUCUCUGGGAGAACAGAGGUAGAAAAACCAGUUAGGAGCUCCCAAGCUCAGAGUCUCCCCAUUUAAUACAGGAGAGGAGAGCCUGAGUGUUAGAAUGGGGGGCCUAGAAGGGAGCGCACAGAGGAAGCUGGUGGGUCACACUCUGCAUGAAGUGGGCACAGGAGCAUGUUCCUGAUGGCAAUUCGAGUCCCAAAGUCUGCAGAUGAUUUAAAUUUAAAUAAAUUCUGAUGAACUCAAAGCUCAUCCUUUAAUAAAACUUCCACUCAUUCACAUCUUAAUGGGCCUUCUUGGUGGUGAGAGAAGAGGAUAAAGUCACAGCUAUGUUGAGGGCCCUGCAGAAAGGAGAAUAUAGUGGGGCCCUGACUUCAUGUCCUUCAUUCAGGUCUUCAAGGCUCUUGUGGAACACGGGCUGAGAACUUCUGGGCCAGCCACAGGUGAGAGGCCAGAGGUCUGUGGCUGCCUUCUUAGCUGGGUUUUAACAUCACCUCCAGUCAGCCUUGUUCAUCUCUAGGGGAGUGUCCCUGUGAGCCUAGAAAUCCUGCAGCUGAGAAAUCUAAUUAAACUCAGUGUUUCCUCAGUCUUUUCCAACCCAUACACCCAUUGAUAAUAAAGAGAAACUCUCUCAUGCCCCAAACUGACCUGUAAAGUUCAGUAUCCCCUUCUCCCUCAUUCAUAAGACUCUCUUCUGCAAAGUCUGCUCCUCAAGACCAGUGGAUUCUAUCAACCUUUACUUUCUGAAAUCGGUAUUUUAUAUCAACAUCUAUCUAUAUAUUUUACUUUUCAAUGUAAAAUUAUAUCACUGCCAUGCUCUUUCAAAUAGGCAUGCCCCCAACUGGACAUUCUCCAUACAACCCCACCAACUAAGAACUACUGUGCUGAACUACAUUAAAGUGCUGAUAUGACCAUUUUUGACCAGUGUCCCAUGGUCCUGCCAUAAGAACCA